rnacentral:misc_RNA from 1 species
AAGUCGUAACAAGGUUCCGUGGAACCUGCGGAAGACAUAGCCAGUGACAAUUUCAGACACCAACUGCUUGGGAAUGCCAGGCCACUUGCCUCGCGCUACGAGCACACUCUUUGUGGAAGUCCCUAAAUCGAAAACUGUUCGGCGAUGAUUUACUAGGGAUUGCCACACUCUGACAAAGCGUACGAGCACACUAAAGGUUCACAGGGGGGUUAACGUUUGGAUACGUGUUAAUGAUAAGGAUGGCGCAGUCAUGAUCGUUGGAGGCCGACACGGCCGACGACCGGGUCACCGGGCUCACGCCCCUUAAUCACAACUUAAUGCAUGUCAGACGCGCCUGCGCUUAAUUGUGCGGCGACCAUAAAACUCGAACAACUGUUAACAAUGGAUAUCUUGGUUCUC